GACGAACGCUGGCGGCGUGCCUAAUACAUGCAAGUCGAACGCACAGUUUAUACCGUGGCUUGCUCCACCAUAGACUGUGAGUUGCGAACGGGUGAGUAACGCGUAGGUAACCUGCCUGGUAGCGGGGGAUAACUAUUGGAAACGAUAGCUAAUACCGCAUAAUAUUGAUUAUUGCAUGAUAAUUGAUGGAAGGGUGCUAUUUCAUCACUACCAGAUUGACCUGCGUUGUAUUAGCUAGUAGGUGAGGUAACGGCUCACCUAGGCGACGAUACAUAGCCGACCUGAGAGGGUGAUCGGCCGCACUGGGACUGUGACAGGGCCCAGACGGCCUCGGGAAGGAGCAGGAGGGAAACGUCGGGCAGGGGCGGAAAGCUGACCGAGCAAGGCCGCGUGAGGGAAGAAGGACUUCGGGUCGGGGAGGUCGGUUUUAAGAGAAGAACGGGUGUGAGAGUGGAAAGUUCAGAGUGUGACGGUAUCUGGUCAGAAAGCAACGGCUAACUACGUG
rnacentral:rRNA from 1 species